CAUGGCAUCAAGAAGAUCGAAGAAAGGUUAAAGAACUACUUACCUACCGGAGUAGCUCCGAUGCCUCUUCGACGAUUGUAUGCUGGCAAAAUAAACGUGAGGGGAACUUCGGUUUCAGAGUGUGAGGGAGGUACGAGCUGAUGAAGAGAGAAGUUGCAGAGGAUGACUUGUAAGUAGGAGGAUGGAGGCCGAGCUCAAGCUUAAUCGGAGCUCCGAUUGUGGAGCUCCAAUGGCUUCUGAAAACCGAGCGUAUAGUGAGGGUAAUUGGAGAGAGAGGUUGGAGAGAGUGAAUUUGCAAAGAUAUGAGGGUUGAGUGAUGAAGACGAUGAGAUGAAUAUGGAGAGUGGUUGGAGUGUGGAGAUAAAGAAGAAUGGGGAGAAUAAAAAAUGGAAGUUGAAGGUGAGUAAAAUGGUGGCAAGGGUAUGGAAAUAGUGAUGAGUGAAGCAGAGAAAUGGUGGAGUGGAGAUGAAGGUUGGAAGAUUCUGAAAUGGAGAGCGCAUUGAGAGAGUGAAGUGAAGAUGAUGAAGAUGGAAGAGUUGUGGUGGAGAGGAGAAGAAGAAUGGUUGAGGGAAUGGUGAAGUAAGGAAAAAUGGGGUGGAGAAUGGAAGCAGAGAAAUGGUGGAGUGGAGAUGAAGAUGAUGAUGAGUGAAGCAGAGAAAUGGUGGCAAGGGUAUGGAAAUGGUAGAGAGGAAGCUUGAAUGAAAGAGAGGUUAAAUUUAUAUAGAAUGAGAGUGAGAGGAUUCAGUUAGAGGAGAGUGAUUGUGAGCCCUUGGAUUGAGUUUCUGUUAUGAACUUUGAUGAUGAGGAUUGAAGGUUGGAAAUAGGGCUGUAGCUUAGAGGAGCUAUCGAGACCGUUUCCUUUUUUCCUUGAAGGGCUGAUUUAGAGAUGUUGCAAGUUAAGUGUAUCAUGAAUGGUAAGGAGAGCUGCAGAUUGUAUUUUGUUGAACUGUUUGGAUUUGAACUUGUUGCAUAGAACUGAUGGCUGAAUAUGGUGAUAUGAAGUGACUGAGUGCAGGGUUAGUAUUAGUAUGAAUGACAUUGGAUGAUGGUUUAAUGGGUUAGAAACGCUUAAGCAGAAAUUAUAUGUGGGUGAUUUGAACGUUUGGAUUUGUCAUGAGUGAGUUUUCGGUCUUUCUGGAGUUAAUCGUUGUGUUUUUUCUUAUUCAUCGGACUUUGCCGUGACUCAGGUAUGCUUUUGGAUUUAUCUUGAAUUCGAAUGAAUAGGUUAAAGUAAUGUAUGUACAGUGAGUGAAUGUGUUUUAUUCUGAAAUGUAUGCUGAAUUGUAUGAUUGGUUUACAUUGCAGCAGGGAGCCCCCUUUUUUUUGUUUAUUUGCUGGUAGGUAACAGUUGGGAAGGUUGGUUUGCAGGAUUUUCGCCGAACCGGUUCUCUUAUAGUGCAGCAAUGAAUGCUAGCUUCGAUUCUUGUUUGCUGCUGUUUUUUUCUUUAUUUAACUCGUAGCAGGUAUGUUUGUGAUGCUACGACUUCGAACAAGCCACAGAGUUAUCAAGGAAGCAUGAAAGCUUGGAAAAUAGGAGGAUGGUGCAGGCGUGAGCGUGAGCAUUUUUCUGUCAUGGGGCAUGUAUUGGAUGUUUAUUGAUGGCUGCAGAAAGCUCUCUUUUUUGGUUUGAAUUGAUGUAAUCUUUCCCUUGCAGUUUGCAGUACCUUUGUAAUAAAUUAGGACUAUAGUAAUUAGUUUGUAAGCUUGGAACUUUGAUGUGUGAAUGGUAAAUGAUGCAGACUUUCAUAAGCUUGUAAUAAGCCUUAUCUUGUAAUGAAUCAUGAUAGCCAUUUGAAUGAACUUUGCACAU